CCCCCCCCCCCCAAACUCUUUAUACUCCACUUUACAAAAUCAUACCACUCUCCCUGCCCAUUAAAACACCACUCUCCAUGCCCAUUAAAACAACCCCUCUUUUCUUCUUCGGGCGAAAAACGGAAUAGACUCCAUCUCCCCCAAAAAGAAACCGAGUCGCCCCCUCUUCUCCUUCACUCUCUCUCAUCUCUCUCAUCUACAUGAACUCACACACUGAUCUUUACUCUCACACAGAUUCAUGCUGAAUUUUCACUCUCGAUUCACACACAGAUCUCACACGAAGGAGCAACUGAAAAUACUCCAAAUACCCCCAAAAAUAUCAAAUUUAGAUCUGUAGUUCUACAGUUUGAAAAAUAGAGGAAAAAGUAAAAGAAAAAGGGAUUUCAAAGAGCUGUUGCGUUUUCUUUUGAUUUUCUUGAUAAUUUCUGGGAUUCUAAGAGUGGUUAUCUCUCAAAAACAUUGUUGAUUGCUGUUGGAAUCUGCUGUUGAUUGUUAAAUCUGUAGCUGAACUCUAAUUUGUGAAAUUAAGCCUUUAUUUGGCUACCCUUCCUUCUAAAUUCAAUUCCUUCGCAAUUAGUUGGGUUGAAAAAUCAGUGGCUCGAUAGUUGUUGAUUAGCGGAGUAAUCAUGUAUUGAUACCAGGAAGAGUUCAUGUUUAAGAGUUGGCAUCCAUAGGAAUCAGCAAAGGCGGAAUCGAGAUGCAUAACUUUUGGAAUUGUUUGUUACUGAAAAUGGAUGACAUUAUAUUGUUUAGAUAGGGAUAUCUUUGUAACAGGGUGUAGGCAUAAAAGUAUGAGUCAGUUGAUUAUUAAUUUUGUAAGUUAAAUAGAAUGGAUUCUGAUUUGGUCUUUCAUGAUUAUGUAUGCAUUUUAUCCAUGAAUGAGUUAAUUUCAUAUUUCCUUAUGGAUUAGAGUUAUAGCAGUAGUUUAAGACUUUGGGCAUUAUUUUAAGCCCAUCUA